GUGCUCAUUUCGGCAGCACAUAUACUAAAACUGGAACAACACAGAGAUUAGCAUGGCCCCUGCACAAGGAUCCCAUGCAAAUUUGUGAAGCGGUCCAUAUUUUU
ensembl:snRNA U6 U6 spliceosomal RNA